CGUUGUAUCUCGGUUUCUUCUCCAACUGGUUUACACUCAGGAACAUUCACUGAUGAUAUUGACAAUUGGUUGAUCGAGGACAUAAACCGAGACUCUUCAAGCGUGGAUCUUUCUCGUUGGGUGCUGUGUGGACGAAAAUUCUCGCUGUAGUCACUGACACUUUGAUUCUCAACAUCGACUGAUGCUGCUGCUGUUGCUGCUGCUGUAGAUUCGAGUUGCUGCUUUUCCAUUCGAACCUUUUCCAACUCUUUUCGAAGCUCGUCUGAGCGUGAUUUUUCGUUUUCCAACUCGUUCGCCAUCAAUUCGAACUUUCGCGCAUUCUGUUGCCUCUCCUUCUUCUUCUUCUUCUUUGCAAGAGCACUGGAUUCCAAAGCUUUUUGUUUAACUUUCUUGGGAGCAUCGAUUUUUGCUGAAAUCGAUUCCGAUGUUGGUGUUGCAUCACUUGCUGGCUUCUUAGAAACUUUUUUCCCUGAGGAAGCAUUAUCUGCGCCAUUGUGGUAAAUUUUCUUCUCCAUUCUGGUGAACCGAAAAACACAACUGCGGUAACGAUGUUUUACUUCCGUUCGCUCUAAACUUCGUUUUCUGAAUGAUCGGAAACGGAUCAGUUUGAACACUCCCGACCGUAGUUUAUUUUUCUUUUUUUCAUCCAUUCCACACACACUCAUGUGUUUAAUUAACGCCAUAUCUACUUUUUCAAGAACGCACCUUUUUUUUUUUUCGGACCUCGUUUUUCGAAUUAAGCUCCCGAAAGCGUUUUACCUUAAGUUCAUGUUCAAGUUUCUAUGCAAGCUUUUCGAACCUUCUAAGCAUUUCUAAACAAUAAUCGAAAAUCGACUAUGGAAAUAGAAUCGCCCAAUUCUAUUUCUAAACUUUUCGUGCUGUAUGUGAAACGUCAGUUUUUCGUUGAUUUUGUUUUGAUUCCGUUUUGUUUAUGCAUUCAUCAAAUCAGUAACUGAACUGUUCUUCGUUGGUCAUCGGAUUGAGUUUCAGUCGUGAAUUAUUCAGAUUUGCCUGCUGAUGUUAGUGAGUGUGUAAAUUGUAUCUAUCAAAU